rnacentral:piRNA from 1 species
UGGGUAAGUCAUUUGCCCUCUUUGGACCU